rnacentral:rRNA from 1 species
ACGAGGUCGAAAGACGUAGUCGAUGGAUAACAGGUUGAAAUUCCUGUACUAUCCUGUAACAGAACUGUGGGGACACAGGCAGAGAGCGUGAGCCGGGAAUGGAAAGACCGGUACAAGCGAGGUAGGAGAAGAGUUGGCAAAUCCGCUCUUUAAUCUGAAGACGUGAUGUGGACUGAAAAUAAGUAGGGAAGCACGUGAGCUGACUGUCAAGAAAAGCCGCUAUUGUUUGCAGGAUACCCGUACCGUAAACCGACACAGGUGGAUGAGGAGAGAAUCCUAAGGCCGACGGGAGAAGCAUUGUUAAGGAACUCGGCAAAAUGACUCCGUAACUUCGGGAGAAGGAGUGCCAGUAAGAUGGCCGCAGAGAAUUGGCCCAAGCAACUGUUUAGCAAAAACACAGGUCUAUGCGAAACCGAAAGGUGAGGUAUAUGGGCUGACGCCUGCCCGGUGCUGGAAGGUUAAGGGGAGAGGUUAGCGCAAGCGAAGCUUUGAACUUAAGCCCCAGUAAACGGCGGCCGUAACAAUAACGGUCCUAAGGUAGCGAAAUUCCUUGUCGGGUAAGUUCCGACCCGCACGAAAGGCGUAAUGAUUUGGGCACUGUCUCAACAAUGCACCCGGUGAAAUUGAAAUACCAGUGAAGAUGCUGGUUACCUGCGCCAGGACGGAAAGACCCCAUGGAGCUUUACUCCAGCUUGAUACUGGGAUUCGGUAUUGCAUGUACAGGAUAGGUGGGAGGCUAGGAAAUGGUAACGCCAGUUACCAUGGAGCCAAUGUUGGGAUACCACCCUUGCAGUACUGGGUUUCUAACCAGCAGCCGCGAUCCGGCUGGGGGACAAUGUCAGGUGGGGAGUUUGACUGGGGCGGUCGCCUCCGAAAGGGUAUCGGAGGCGCUCAAAGGUUCCCUCAGAAUGGUUGGAAACCAUUCGAAGAGUGCAAAGGCAGAAGGGAGCUUGACUGCGACACCGACGGGUGGAGCAGGUACGAAAGUAGGACUUAGUGAUCCGGUGGUAUAAAGUGGGAUUGCCAUCGCUCAACGGAUAAAAGCUACCCUGGGAUAACAGGCUUAUCACUCCCAAGAGUUCACAUCGACGGAGUGGUUUGGCACCUCGAUGUCGGCUCAUCGCAUCCUGGGGCUGAAGUAGGUCCCAAGGGUUGGGCUGUUCGCCCAUUAAAGCGGUGCGCGAGCUGGGUUCAGAACGUCGUGAGACAGUUCGGUCCCUAUCCGGCGUGGGCGUAAGAUAUUUGAGAGGAGCUGUCCUUAGUACGAGAGGACCGGGAUGGACUGGCCGCUGGUGUAUCUGUUGUCUUACCAAAGGCAUAGCAGAGUAGCCAAGCCGGGAAGGGAUAAGCGCUGAAGGCAUCUAAGCGUGAAGCCCCCCUCAAGAUGAGAUAUCUCAUAACGUCAAGUUAGUAAGACCCCUUGAAGACGACGAGGUAGAUAGGGCAGAGGUGGAAGUGUGGUAACACAUGGAGCUGACUGUUACUAAUAGGUCGAGGGCAUAAC